rnacentral:antisense_RNA from 1 species
UAGGCUUCAAGCGUGCGCUGGCACAGCGCUGAACGUACACAAUCCUCUCGCCCAAAUUGGACAAUACCUAUCAUCGCAUCCUCAUUAAACCGCCUCAGCGCAUCGCUUAAUCCUGAUGCUACGCCCGCGGGAAGAUCGCACUGGGUUAUAUCGCCAUUCACAAUUACGGUCACAUUUUCCCCCAGCCGCGU